rnacentral:rRNA from 1 species
GACGAACGCUGGCGGCGUGCUUAACACAUGCAAGUCGAACGGUGAAGCGAGUGCUUGCACUCGUGGAUCAGUGGCGAACGGGUGAGUAACACGUGAGUAACCUGCCCAUCACUCUGGGAUAAGCACUGGAAACGGUGUCUAAUACUGGAUACGACCAACCCUUGCAUGGGGUAUUGGUGGAAAGAUUUAUCGGUGAUGGAUGGACUCGCGGCCUAUCAGCUUGUUGGCGGGGUAAUGGCCCACCAAGGCGACGACGGGUAGCCGGCCUGAGAGGGUGACCGGCCACACUGGGACUGAGACACGGCCCAGACUCCUACGGGAGGCAGCAGUGGGGAAUAUUGCACAAUGGGCGAAAGCCUGAUGCAGCGACGCCGCGUGAGGGAUGACGGCCUUCGGGUUGUAAACCUCUUUCAGCAGGGAAGAAGCGAAAGUGACGGUACCUGCAGAAGAAGCACCGGCUAACUACGUG